AAAAAUGGUAUGCCUAAAAACAGUCCUCUUUUUGUACCUGAACAUUAUUAAUACGGAGCUUAUGGAAGAUUUUUGUUGGCUAAAGGGAAGAUGAAGACAGAAAUUACAGCGAUGGUUCGUCCAAAAGGAAAGGUUGUCGAAAGGAAUUUUUGUUUAAUUGUAUUGAAUGGCAGUCUCAAGGGUAAAAAUUAUAUUGUCGUCAUGUUCUUGGUGCUACUAUUAGCUUUGAUAAGUUUAAACAAAUGGUAAAGAGUAAGUUGA